rnacentral:rRNA from 1 species
AGCGGCGGACGGGUGAGUAACGCGUGGGUAACCUGCCUCAUACAGGGGGAUAACAGUUGGAAACGGCUGCUAAUACCGCAUAAGCGCACAGUACCGCAUGGUACCGUGUGAAAAACUCCGGUGGUAUGAGAUGGACCCGCGUCUGAUUAACUAGUUGGUGGGGUAACGGCCUACCAAGGCGACGAUCAGUAGCCGACCUGAGAGGGUGACCGGCCACAUUGGGACUGAGACACGGCCCAA